UUGGAGGGCAAGUCUGGUGCCAGCAGCCGCGGUAAUUCCAGCUCCAAUAGCGUAUAUUAAAGUUGUUGCAGUUAAAAAGCUCGUAGUUGAACUUCGGGGUUCACCCAUUGGUCAGGCUUAAUUGUCUGCACUGGUGAGAUGAAUCUCUACCUUCUGAGGAACUUUCAUGCCAUUUAUUUGGUGUGAUGGGAUAUCAGGACUGUUACUUUGAAAAAAUUAGAGUGUUUAAAGCAGGCUAACGUCUGAAUACAUUAGCAUGGAAUAAUGAAAUAGGACGGACUGAUUCUAUUUCGUUGGUUUCUAGGAUCACCGUAAUGAUUAAUAGGGAUAGUUGGGGGCAUUAGUAUUCAAUUGUCAGAGGUGAAAUUCUUAGAUUUAUUGAAGACUAACUACUGCGAAAGCAUUUGCCAAGGAUGUUUUCAUUAAUCAAGAACGAAAGUUAGGGGAUCGAAGACGAUCAGAUACCGUCGUAGUCUUAACCAUAAACUAUGCCGACUAGGGAUCGGACGAAGUUAAUUUUAUAAUGACGCGUUCGGCGCCUUACGGGAAAC
rnacentral:rRNA from 1 species